AUUAGAUUAGAAAUUUGAUUACUCAGAUCUGUUAGAGAGUACAUCCCUAGCCCCUUUGGUUUCCCCAGCUGGUAAAGUUUGCAAUAUGCCUCUUGCUAUAGGAUAACUGUGGCUAGAUCACGACUCUGCCCUAUUAGCAUAAUGUGCUGUGGUUUUCAUGUUAGUACAUUGACGUGCCCAGUUUAAUGCUUCCACGAACCUGAUCUCGGAAUGGGAACAAAUAUGUAUAAACAAGCAAUUACCGGUUGGUUGUAAACAGAUCUUCAUGUGCUAUAGAUCUAUAAUCGACUAUUUGCCUUUCUCAGCUUCCAAAUAUGCCAAACAAUGGGAGGCGGAUAUCCAGUGCUCUAUACCACCCAAACAAUGGGAUCAGAUGAUUUUGGCCCCAAAGGGUCUGAUUAAAUCCUCCACACACAUAUAGAACAACACAAAGUACUUUACAGGUGGUAUUUGGUACCCACCAGAUUACAUAGAAUAUACCAGUGCAGUCCUCCAACCUGUUGGAGAUGUGGUGACCAGGAGGGCACCACAUAUGGUGGAAAUGUGCACCUAUCUAUGCAUUCUGGAAAAGAUUGCACAAAUUUAUAAAUGGAAUAGUAGACUGUUCUCUGGGCGAUCUACCAGUUAGCUAACCUCCCUGCCUGUAUCCCUAAACCAGAACAGAAAGUAAUACUGCAAAUUAUCUUAACUGAACAGCAUCAUAUAGUGAGAGCCUGGAAGACAGCCCUCACACCAAAAACCCCCAAAAUAAUCAGACCUGGAUGUACAACGUAUCUAUGAAUACUCUUUUAGAGUAACUUUCCCCCUGUCUAAAACCUCAAAUGAACGAUGGCAAAUUUGGGAGACAUAAAGAUCUGGACUCAAAGAUCUGUUAUAAAUAUAAGGUAUGGUAUCCUGCUAGCAAUUCCACAAUGAAUAGAGAGGUUGUCCUACCUAUGUCUGUUAAG